GUAUGCAUGUAAACAGGUAAGAGCAUAGCAUUAUCAUUCAUGUGCGAUCCAAUGUCUAAGCCCGAAAGGUAAUCCGCCCAAAUAACAUAUCAGCCCAAAUAACAUAUCGGCCCAAACAGAUAAGCAGUCCAAUUAGCAGUCAAUCGAAUUGGGCCCGUGACAAGGUAGGCCCAAAACAGUGUACGAGCAGCUAGUCUCGAGUCGCAACCGGCGAUCUCGAGUCGCAACCGGGAUUACGAGUCACAACAGCUGAUUACGAGUCGCAACAGGAGGUUGCGAGUCGCAAUGCUAGUCUCGAGUCGCAACCGGCGAUCUCGAGUCGCAACCGGGAUUACGAGUCACAACAGCUGA
rnacentral:lncRNA from 1 species